rnacentral:lncRNA from 1 species
GACCAGAGUCUGCACCCCCUCCAGGGCAGCUCCAACCCCAUAUCCCCAGGCCCUGGGUUGAGGGGUGCUGGCGGUGGGGAGGCAGGGACAGUAGGCUCCCUACCCCCGCCGCCGCCGCCUCUUCUUCCACCACUGCCACCGCCUCCUCUUCAUCUGCGGCCCACCGGCGGCGGCCGCCCCGAAGCCCCGCCCCCUCCAUCGCCUCCUGCAUCAUCACUUCCGGUAACCCCGCCGGCCGCCAGCUCCAGGAGGGAGAAUGGGAGAGGGGCAAGGAGGGAACGAGUGGAAGAUUGCGUCACGACGCACAUAAAGACGUACGAAGCCGUCGCCAAAGAGUACCCAGAGAAGGAGAAGCCAGCAAAGGAGACGACACAGACAAGACCUCAGAGAUCAAAGGAAGAGGCCCCUUAAUAUCCUGGAAUAAUGGGACCCAUCCCCGUAAUCAGUGAAUCUCAUCCACCCGCUUGCCAGCUUCUACCCGCAGCAAGUAGAAGCUAAGUCCUGGCUCAAAUCUCUUCCCUCCCUCCCUCUCCCAGCUGUCAGUGCUUUUGGACUUGUGCUCAGAUGACAACGGCAACACGACAAGAAGUCCUUGGCCUCUACCGCAGCAUUUUCAGGCUUGCGAGGAAAUGGCAGGCGACAUCAGGGCAGAUGGAAG